UGGGUGACCUGCCCUCAGCUCUGGGAUAAGCCUGGGAAACUGGGUCUAAUACUGGAUAUUCACUUCUCAUCGCAUGGUGGGUGGUGGAAAGUUUUUUCGGCUGGGGAUGGGCCCGCGGCCUAUCAGCUUGUUGGUGGGGUGAUGGCCUACCAAGGCGACGACGGGUAGCCGGCCUGAGAGGGCGUCCGGCCACACUGGGACUGAGACACGGCCCAGACCUCCGUACGGGA
rnacentral:rRNA from 1 species